CCAAGUUCGGACAUGCGCCCUUUCUUAUACCCGGACUCCCUAUCACUAGGUCUUUCUCCCAUAGCCUUCCUUAUCAUCUCGCCCUUUCUCUCCCUCUCUCUCCCGUAGCCUUCCUCAUCAUCUUCUUUAUUUUGAACUUAAACCUCUCUUUUGAACCCAGAUCUAUCUCCCUCUCGUUGUAAACAACGGGCAGCCACCACCCCUUCGUCAUGCUUGUCUCUCUCCUUGAAGUUUGAAGAUAUUUUGGUAUAGAUUUUCAAUUCUCAGCCAACUAGCAGAUUCAAAUUGGGAUCCGCCAUUUAAUUUUGAUAAGUUGAUUGAAAUUAGUACACACAAAAUCAUCAACACUGGUCAGCUUCUAUUGAUUCUGUGGAGCACAAAAUCAUCAACACCAAGUAUUUGUAGCUGAGGGCCAAGAACAAGCAGAUGAAGGCCUAGGGCGAGCAGAUGAAGACCCAGAUUAGGACCCAGGACGACCAGAUGAGUAUGAUUCUACAGGCCUUAGCGAUGUCCGGUCUUAAAAUCCAGCUGCCAGCACCUAAUCUUUGUUGGAGUAAAAUCUGGUUCUCACAAGGUUUUGUGGUCUCACAAUCAUUGUACAUUACUUGAGGAUCAAGUUAUAGGAUUAGGGAAUUAACUUGGACUUUUCCGGUUGCAAAAGGAAUGUAAUAUUAAGUUGUUAUUCUUGCUAAAGGGGUUCCUAAUCCUGAUUGGUUAAGGAGAUAUAGACAUAUUCAGUUA